CGUUCCUCGGGGAAUCUUUUAACUGGAACACCCUGGAGCGGACACAGAACAGCAACCACAGGUGGAGCAGCGCCCUCACGCCGGCAACCCCCAGACAACCACACCUCAACCACGCACUAUGAUACAAAGACCGCUUUUUCUCAAAUGUGCACACUGCCUCAGAAGCUAAAGAGAUGGUGAUGCAGGCGCUGCAGAAGGUGACCAGAGGAGAGGCCAUCAAGCAGGAGGAUCUGGGGGAAGCCACCUGCCAGAAAGCUACGCAAGGCAGAGAAACCUCUCACUUUAGAGAAAAAUACUUAGUCCUCACUGACAGAACUGAAGUGUGACGUUAUUUGUAUUUCAAGUGUUCUGCUUUUUCAAUGUGUUGCCAAAAAAACUCUGAACAUGUUACAGGCUGCAGGAAAGCAAAAGUGCAAUGUUUGUUUUCAGAAAUAUAACGUUGACUGUUAAAAUGUCAGCAACAGAUGCAGUUGCAUCAUGGUGUUUGUUUCAUUUGUUACAAUGGGUACGGUUACAUGAUGUUUUUUAAUUCAGAAUUAAUAAUUCAGAAUUAAAUAAUUCGGAAUUAAA